UUGGGGCUCAACAUGGUUCAGGGCUUGCGUAUGACAUAAAAAACACAUGACUAGUGUUUGCAUGCACAGAAAACCCAGACAAUCUACUACAUUUGUCAAAUGUGCAAAAUACAACCUGAGGACACUGUGUGAGGUCACCUUGACCUACCAUUUCUCAUGCAACAAAUUACAUAAUACCUGCUUUAUUUCUAAGAUGAACUAACUAAAACAGCAUGUUGAACCCUAUGCAGGAGGCAAGGAUAAGCAUUUCCAGAACAGCACAGUGUGUUCAUCUGCAAACUUCACAUUUUGGUAGAAUCCAUACUAAAACCUCCAAGUGCUGACUUAAAUUAAAUUAAAUUACACUGAACCUCCCAGAGUCCACCUUGAAACAAAGUCAUGUGUACAAGCUUCUGGACGGAGGCAGCCAGUGGUGAGGAGGAUGAAUUUCACCAGAUCACGGUGCAGAUUGAAGUUACAUGUUCUGUCAUGGAGGAAAACCUUUCUAUGUCUGCCUGAGGCCACACAGAUCAGCCUGAGAUUCAUGUUGAAGUUUAAUUCAUGCUCUGAAUUGAUAAACGUCCUCUCCGCCGCACACAUCUGACAAAAGCCCAUUCCUUCAUGGCAUCAUCCUUCACGAAAUCACAGGGAUCAAGUCGCUGAAGUCCAAAAGCACCAUUGACGUACUCUGCUCGGGGUCAGACAGACUCGUCGUCUCAAUCUCACUCUAUUAACGCUUCAAGAUCGUGAUGACUAUUGACUUACAGGUCUUUAUGAGAGCGCUUUGGCCUUCAGAUCAGUGUCACAGUACUCUGAAAACCAGAGCUCGUUCUCAUGUGCUGACAGGCCUUUCUCAGCCAAUGGCAAUUAACUAAAGUAGGAUCAGCAGCUGUUUGGCCGGUGACACAUAUAUUGGAGCGGCUUUGCUGUGUACAGAGAGUCUGUUGGAGAAGGGAUCUGUGCGGAAAGCUGUAUGUUCUCUGACUGGCUCAUGCAGGAUGUUCUGGGAAAGAGAUGGAUGGCAUUUAAAUCCACCUUUACUGGAAAACAGUCCAAGAUCUGCUUCCCAGAGUCUCCAGGAAGAAUGUUCCUCGAGUGUUUAACAGUGUUUCUCUCAUCUGUCUGCGAGCAGAUGUCCUGCUUCUAGAAUCUAAUGCACCGGUUUUGCCAGAGGUUAAAGAGGUCUGGUAAACGUGUUUCACAAAUGCAGUUCGUUGUUUUUAAUCAGUUAUGUAUGUUUUAUCACACAACUUCAGUAAAAAUCACAGAGCAAAUAACAUAAUCCUAUCUGGAUAAUCUAGUCUGUGAUUAUGUACUGUAAGUGUGUAUUU